rnacentral:lncRNA from 1 species
GGGGCCGCCACCUGCUUCCGUGAGCGCGGGGAGAAGCUGGGCACAGCUCGCUUUACUCCCAGUGGAGGGCGGGAAGCAUUUUCAACUUCUUUAAUGAGAAGCAUGUUCAGCCAGCAAAGAAGAAGAAGAAAAAUGGUUAUAGACAAGCAACCAACAGUAUCUGCCAUAGCUAUUUUAUAGCUGUUUAAACUUGGCUGGGGGUGAAAGAUGCCCUUCAGUGUCCCAAAUGAGAGAAGAGAAUUUUAAUUGGGAGUGGCCAAGGUUCACAAUUUCAGCCUGGAGGAAAGUAAAUUAAAGAGGGAAAUUUGGAUACACAAAGAGAUGCCAGGGAUUAACCUACCCAGAGGAAAGGCCACGUGAGGACACAGCAAGAAGGUGGCCGUCUGCAAGCCGAGAGAGGCCUCAGAAGAAGCCAAACCUGCUGAU